UACACACGUCAUACAAUGGCCGGUACAAAGGGCAGCCAACCCGCCGAGGGGGGGAGGCCCAAAUCCCCAUAAAGCCGGUCGUAGUCCGGAUCGCAGUCUGCAACUCGACUGCGUGAAGUCGGAAUCGCUAGUAAUCGUGGAUCAGUAUGUCACGGUGAAUACGUUCCCGGGUCUU
rnacentral:rRNA from 1 species